rnacentral:rRNA from 1 species
UAGGGAAUCUUCGGCAAUGGACGAAAGUCUGACCGAGCAACGCCGCGUGAGUGAAGAAGGUUUUCGGAUCGUAAAACUCUGUUGUUAGAGAAGAACAAGGACGUUAGUAACUGAACGUCCCCUGACGGUAUCUAACCAGAAAGCCACGGCUAACUACGUGCCAGCAGCCGCGGUAAUACGUUGGUGGCAAGCGUUGUCCGGAUUUAUUGGGCGUAAAGCGAGCGCAGGCGGUUUCUUAAGUCUGAUGUGAAAGCCCCCGGCUCAACCGGGGAGGGUCAUUGGAAACUGGGAGACUUGAGUGCAGAAGAGGAGAGUGGAAUUCCAUGUGUAGCGGUGAAAUGCGUAGAUAUAUGGAGGAACACCAGUGGCGAAGGCGGCUCUGUGGUCUGUAACUGACGCUGAGGCUCGAAAGCGUGGGGAGCAAACAGG